ACUCCUACGGGAGGCAGCAGUGGGGAAUAUUGGACAAUGGGCGCAAGCCUGAUCCAGCCAUGCCGSGUGAGUGAUGAAGGCCCUAGGGUUGUAAAGCUCUUUUGUGCGGGAAGAUAAUGACGGUACCGCAAGAAUAAGCCCSGGCUAACUUSGUGCCAGCAGCCGCGGUAAUACGAAGGGGGCKAGCGUUGCUSGGAAUCWCUGGGCGUAAAGGGUSCGUAGGCGGGUCUUUWAGUCAGGGGUGAAAUCCUGGAGCUCAACUCCAGAACWGCCUYUGAUACUGAAGAUCUUGAGUUCGGGAGAGGUGAGUGGAACUGCGAGKGUAGAGGUGAAAUUCGUAGAUAUUCGCAAGAACACCAGUGGCGAAGGCGGCUCACUGGCCCGAUACUGACGSUGAGGCACGAAAGCGUGGGGAGCAAACAGGAUUAGAUACCCUGGUAGUCCACGCCGUAAMCGAUGAAUSCCAGCCGUUAGUGGGUUUACUCACUAGUGGCGCAGCUAACGCYUUAAGCAUUCCGCCUGGGGAGUACGGUCSCAAGAUUAAAACUCAAAGGAAUUGACGG
rnacentral:rRNA from 1 species